AUGCUCCUCAAGCUGCUAAGGACGCUGCUAAGCUUGCUGAUGAGACUGCGGAUCAUGCUUAUGAGCAGCAGGAGCAUGCUCUUCAGCAGGGUGACUCCAUUGUUGAUGAUUCCUACGCAUAGAGUUCUGCUAUCUAGCGCCGGCUUGACUCUCUUCACUGCUGGUUGUCCUACUUGCCAGUGUUGCCAGGCUGUGUGGCCAGACUUGGAGUUUCAUCGUGUCUACGAGUUCUUGUCUCAACUUCAUAAGGAGUUUGAGCCAUGGCGGUGGCAUGCUGAGUUGUUUGCUCGUGGCUGUAUUUCAUGA
rnacentral:rRNA from 1 species